GACCAACGCCGGCGGCGUGCUUAACACAUGCAAGUCGAACGAAGAGCGAUGGAAGCUUGCUUCUAUCAAUCUUAGUGGCGAACGGGUGAGUAACGCGUAAUCAACCUGCCCUUCAGAGGGGGACAACAGUUGGAAACGACUGCUAAUACCGCAUACGAUCUAAUCUCGGCAUCGAGGAUAGAUGAAAGGUGGCCUCUACAUGUAAGCUAUCACUGAAGGAGGGGAUUGCGUCUGAUUAGCUAGUUGGAGGGGUAACGGCCCACCAAGGCGAUGAUCAGUAGCCGGUCUGAGAGGAUGAACGGCCACAUUGGGACUGAGACACGGCCCAGACUCCUACGGGAGGCAGCGGUGGGGAAUCUUCCGCAAUGGACGAAAGUCUGACGGAGCAACGCCGCGUGAGUGAUGACGGCCUUCGGGUUGUAAAGCUCUGUUAAUCGGGACGAAAGGCCUUCUUGCGAAUAGUGAGAAGGA
rnacentral:rRNA from 1 species